rnacentral:rRNA from 1 species
UCCCAGACUCCUACGGGAGGCAGCAGUGAGGAAUAUUGGUCAAUGGGCGCGAGCCUGAACCAGCCAAGUAGCGUGAAGGAUGACUGCCCUACGGGUUGUAAACUUCUUUUAUAAAGGAAUAAAGUGAGGCACGUGUGCCUUUUUGUAUGUACUUUAUGAAUAAGGAUCGGCUAACUCCGUGCCAGCAGCCGCGGUAAUACGGAGGAUCCGAGCGUUAUCCGGAUUUAUUGGGUUUAAAGGGAGCGUAGGUGGAUUGUUAAGUCAGUUGUGAAAGUUUGCGGCUCAACCGUAAAAUUGCAGUUGAAACUGGCAGUCUCGAGUUGGAGAGAAGUAUGCGGAAUGCGCGGUGUAGCGGUGAAAUGCAUAGAUAUCGCGCAGAACUCCGAUUGCGAAGGCAGCAUGCCGGCUCCACACUGACGCUGAGGCACGAAAGCGUGGGUAUCGAACAGGAUUAGAUACCCCCGUA